rnacentral:rRNA from 1 species
AAAGAUUAAGCCAUGCAUGUCUAAGUAUAAGCAAUUAUACAGCGAAACUGCGAAUGGCUCAUUAUAUAAGUUAUCGUUUAUUUGAUAGUGCCUUACUACUUGGAUAACCGUGGUAAUUCUAGAGCUAAUACAUGCUAAAAACCCCGACUUCGGAAGGGGUGUAUUUAUUAGAUACAAAACCAAUGCCCUUCGGGGCUCCUUGGUGAUUCAUGAUAACUAUACGAAUCGCACGGCCUUGCGCCGGCGAUGGUUCAUUCAAAUUUCUUCCCUAUCAACUUUCGAUGUUUGGGUAUUGGCCAAACAUGGUUGCAACGGGUAACGGAGGGUUAGGGCUCGACCCCGGAGAAGGAGCCUGAGAAACGGCUACUACAUCCAAGGAAGGCAGCAGGCGCGCAAAUUACCCAAUCCCGACUCGGGGAGGUAGUGACAAUAAAUACUGAUACAGGGCCCUUUCGGGCCUUGUAAUUGGAAUGAGUACAAUUUAAAUCCCUUAACGAGGAACAAUUGGAGG